AAAGUAUUUCAAAUUAAGGAACUUAAUUAGAAAUGGCUAGCAAAAUAACUUUGUGUGCUCUACUCUUUUGCUUUCUUCUCAUGUUUGCUUCUGAGAUGAAGAUAACAGAAGCAAAGUAUUGUGGGAAGCCUAGCAAAGGCUGGAAUGGCAAGUGCUUUCCCAAGAAGUGUAACCAUUGGUGCAAGAAGGAAGAUGCAGCUUAUGGGAAUUGCUACAACAAAUAUUGCUACUGUUAUUAUAAAUGUUGAAAAUUAAAUGGAUAACAAUAUAUAGCCAUAGGCCUUUUCUUAUGGCACAUGAAGUUUAUCUUCUACAAUAUAUAGAUAAAUAAAUACUGUUAUUACAUAUGGUUAUUGCAGCAAUGACCAUAUUAUCCUUUAUGGUCGUAAUUGUGUUUGUAACUUGAUGUUUUAUAUGAAAUAUGUAGUAUUACUGUAUA